CGUAGUUGGAUUUCUGUUGCAUCAUUAUAUUAUCACCAAGGUGAUAAUAUAAUAUCAACAUCCUCCCUUAUUAUAUCUAAUAUAGAGGGAAUUUUACUUUGAGAAAAUUAGAGUGCUUAAAGCAGGCAACUGCC
rnacentral:rRNA from 1 species